CUCAAACUAUCUUCAUCUCUCUGUCUAAGUAACAUUUUAUAUCUAACUUCUAUUGAAAAGGGCAACAAGGCACCACUGUAAAUUGAACAGCAAAGUAAUCCUAUUCUACUGUAUGCCCCCCUUUUUACUCGCAUCUAUUUUACUGUAAAUCUUUACCUGGCCAUACCUUUUCAACUUCACGUAACAAUCCAUAUUUCUCCAUUUACACAUGCAACUUCACCAUCCCCACUACCAUAACCUAGCUUCAUCUCUCUUUCUUACUGUGCACUUACCUGGUUUGGUAUUAUUUGUGGAGCUCCAAUCUCUUAUUUGAGUCGUUAACAAAAAAAAAAAAAAAACUUUGGAACACAAGAAGUAAAUUGCUAUGCGUUUAGUUCAACUUCUUCUUCAGACCUUAUGAGGUACAAUUUAUAUGUUUGUGAACAUUAAGCUCUUGUUUUUCCGCCAUUCUUUGGUUUGUGGAAUCUUCAUAUUAUAUAAUGUAGAUAUAAUGCAGAAUUAAACGCUGUGAAAUACUCUAAACGAGAAGGCGGUUGAAGAGGUAUAUGAAUUUAAAUCUAUUUCUACUCUCAUUUCUUCUUGAAUAAAAAAACUUUGCUGCUUCCAGUUUUCAUUUUAUGUAAUGUGAAAUGGGCUGUACAUGAUUAGUAGUGUUUUCUUUGUAAUUUUUUAAUGGAAUUGAUUUAGAUUUUGUUCCAAGUUGUAUUAAAAAUGCAUAUUUUUCUUUCGAGCAGAAGCAGAGUGAAUGAGUUUGUUGCAAAGUUAAAUGAAUUCAAUUUCUUUGUUUUGCAGAGAGGUAGUUUUCGGGCAUUUGUCAGUUUCUCUCUCUCUUCAGUUUUUUCUUUAAUGAAUUUUAUUUACAAAUGUGUAGUUUUUUUAAGUUUCUCAAUUGUCUUUACUAGCUUUCAUCUUCCUACUGAUUAUACAUUCUUGCUCAUAUCUCUAUGGAAAUUUGGUUUUUUCUGCUAAAAUAAUUAUCAGUCGUGUGUGUGUGCGUUUCUUGUUUAGCUUUAUAAUUAAUUAUUUUCUUGGAAAGUAUUGCUUUGGCAUGAUCUUAGUUUAAUUUGGUAAAUUGAUGUUAAUUUAGUGAAUUCUUUUUUUUUGGAAUAUCAAGCAUUUAGUCUUGAUAAUUUUAUGGUUGGUUCAUAUUUAUUGUUUCAUAAAUGUGAUAUAACUUUGUUUUAUCUUCAUUGGUGCUUUCACCUACAACCAUUCUAUUGUAGAUGCUAGACACAUUUGUUGCGGAGUUGCUCCGCACAAUGUGCGGAGAAGUUACUCCACAUGUCACGCCGCAG
rnacentral:lncRNA from 1 species